rnacentral:misc_RNA from 1 species
UGUGGGAGCGAGCUUGCUCGCGAUGGCGGCGGCUCAGUCAACAUCAAUGUUGAAUGUCACUCCGUCAUCGCGAGCAAGCUCGCUCCCACA